rnacentral:piRNA from 1 species
UGGGAAAGACCUGUUCCUGCAAUUCCAGA